UGAUGUAUUGCAAGACAUAAUUUGUUUAUCAAGUUAAAAUGUAUUAUAAAUGUUUGAUUAUCGUGCAGAACACUUGCUGAACAAGUUACUCACAAUCCAAGGUUUUACUGUAUUGUAAGCAACAACAUGGACAAUAUGUGCAACUAAAAGAUCCAUCAGUAGAGAUCUCUGAGAAGAUACACAAGGAUAUUCACCAUUUGGCCAUUAUCUGCCUGCAGAUCCAUGGUUCUACUAGAUCUCUUCCAAAAUGAGGUGAGGAAACUGAGGCAUAAAGAAGUUGAGUAACAUACCCAACCUCAUGGAUCUGAUUUCAACCUGAAAGCUUUUGAAAUGUACUUCUGUGUGGAGUGAGGGAAGGCAAAGAGAAAGCCUCAGUUUCUUAAUCUGCAAAAUGAGUCCACUGUUGAAACAACCUUGAAGAUUUAAUGGAGGGGAAAAUCCAUAUGUAAAGCACACCUGGAGGUAACUACGAAAAGAUAAGUGCUCAAUGAACGUGGACUAUACAUUUUUAAGCUGGAAUGUACUUAGGAUGUCAUUCAAUCCAGGCCCCUCUUUCAGAAUUUGAAAACAGAGCCACAGAGAAGCUGAAGGAGUCCCCCUUGGUUACACAGCUAGUGGCACAAUCAGGGCCGAAAACCCAGGGUGUCCGGAUUCCCUUGCCUCUGUAUUGUCCCUUCACUACCACACCCUGCUGUGACGUGCAAC